GCUUGGAGGCCUUUUUCUUUUUAAUAGAUGAGAGGAUAGAUUAGGAAUAGAAUUAUCCGGGUACGAUAACAUAUACACACACAAACACACCCCAUGCCCAGCACGCAACAGAUAGCAGGCAUGUAAAAGCAAUCGGUAAAACCACACCGCACGAUCCUCUACGCCCCGCCGAGUGUGUGUGUCUCAUACACCCUACCAGCACGCCACGUAUAUAGCUGAGUUUCGGCGGAUUCGGCCAAUAAGCAUCGCUGGUCGCCAAAACUUCUACCAUCGCAAAGUGGCGACAGCAUUUCGUAGAUAAAUCCCACUGGGACAGCUCGCCUUUUCCAUAGGCUCUUAACAAAACUCUUCGGACGGACACGCGAAGGGCUGGUUACAGAGAGCACUUGUCCUACCAGUAAUUAUUUCUCCCGUUCUCAAUCUUCGGGGGUAAAUACGCAUCCAAGUCCACGCCGGCAGUAGAUAGUUGGGCCAGUGAUCUAGUGAGUCCGGUACAGGGCUCUCCUCAUUUCUUCGGUGCUGGGUUAUGUUAAGAACAAACUUUUAGACCAUUUGGGGGUGCAUUUUUGGUGUGGUGGUGACAGAUUUCUUAGUGGUGAAUCUCUUCUUAUAUUUUUGAUUUGUUUGUUGUAUUUAUUGCGGGGGUUUGAAUUAGAAGUGAAAACCCGAUUGAAAUUUACGCAGGGGAAUUUUGUGGCUUCUUCCUUUUCUUGUGAACCUCGGUUUUUUGGUGUUUAUGAUCAGAAGUAGUUGGUUGGAGGAAAAAUGGCGUUUAACUAUCUGGUGAUUGUAUUCUGCACGACAGCGGGGAGAAGAGGAGCUUUGCUUGGCACAGACGAGGAAGACCUAGUCCUCCUAGUAUCGGUGGUGGUGGACGUUGAAACCAAUAAGGUUGUAAAAUUCAACCAGAACUACAUUCGACCUGAAAACUCUGAACUAUCAGAAGAACUAUGUACCACUCUCAACAUCAGGCCAGAGGUUAUUACUGGGGCAGCCAACCUAAGCCGAGUCAUAGCAGAGUUCGACAACUACCUGACGACCGAACUCGUAGGCGAGGACGGGAAGACAUUUUGCCUUCUGACUGACGGCCAGCUCCACGUGCGACAAUGCCUUCACCCACAGACCAUCAACAAGGGCAUCGCGAUCCCGGACUACUUCUACAGCUUCUUCGACCUCCGGAAGGAGUUCCGCCGGAAGUACCCCAACGCACCACACAUCACAGACGUCAAGGACAUGGCGACCUAUUUGAAAAUAGACGUGGGUAACUUUAACUACACAGAGACCGGCAUUGAUGAGUGCCGAACGAUGGCCAGUAUAGUCACCAAGAUGAUCUCAGAUCAUCAUCGGUUCAUCAAACCGGAUUAUGUCACGAAGAAAUACGAACCAGGAACAUACGACAAGACAGAUAGUAUACCGGAUGAUACGGCGGUGAAAGCCCGCGGUCUCCCAUGGCAAGCUUCGGAUAGAGAUGUCUUCCGUUUCUUCAAAGGACUCAACAUUGCUAGGGGUGGUGUUGCCCUCUGCCUAAACACACACGGACGUAGGAAUGGGGAGGUGAUGGUACACUUCGAAAGUUCAGAACAGCGCGAUAUGGCCCUCCAGAGGCAUAAACACAACCUGGGAAAAAGAUACGUUGAGGUAUUCAAAGCAACGGGAGACGAGUUUAUCCGCGUGGCUGCUGGGACAUCGAAAGAGGCAACACUCUUUUUAGCUAGAGAUGAUGGACAUAUCAUUGUGCGCAUGCGUGGUCUACCAUUUAAAAUCGAAGAGAAAGAUGUGGUUGAGUUCUUUGGACCGGAUAUUCCCCUCGCAGGAGGAGAAGACGGAAUCCUCUUCGUGAAGCACAAGAGCGGCAAGAUGACAGGAGAUGCCUUCGUGCUCUUUGGCUCUGAGGACGCGGUGUCCAAGGCACUUGCCAAGCAUCGGGAGUACCUAAAGAACAGGUAUAUUGAGAUCUUCAGAAGCACCACUGCCGAAGUUCAACAGGUCCUCUCUCGUGUCCAAUCCGAGCCUAUCAUGCCAGACAUCCCCCAGCAACCGAUCAUGCCCCCUACUAUGAUCCCCAUCCCCAUCCACGCCAUGCCCCCUCCUCCACCCCAGCACUUCAUUACUGCAGGGGUAGUGCGUGACUGCAUCCGAAUGAGAGGCCUCCCGUACAACGCGUCUAUCGAAGACAUCAUGAACUUUCUCGGGGAGGCAGCCCAGUACAUUCGGCCUCAUGGAGUCCACAUGGUCCUAAACCUUCAGGGUAAGCCAAACGGUGAGGCGUUUAUCCAGAUGACGUCUGCAGAUCGUGCCUGCUUGGCGGCACAGACUUGCCAUAUGAAGUACAUGCGGGAGCGUUAUGUAGAAGUCAUGCAGUGUUCGGGAGAUGAGAUGCAGAUGGUGCUGACGAGUGGUAUCCGCAACGAGAAGGCACCACAGCCACAAAUAAACGCAAUAUCCCCGACCACUCCAAUCCCCUACCCUCCACCACCUCACCAUCCUCACGCCCAGCUCACCCACCCAGGUCAGAUGCCACCGGUGAGUGCAGGUAUGGUGCCCUCCAUGCCACACAUUCCAGGUCACGCCAGUCCACACGCCGCAGCCGUUGCAGCCGCAGCGGCCGGUCAUCCCCAGCUCCCACCCGGCGCCACUUUCUUGCACCAACAGCAAUUGAUGUACGUACAUCCGGGGUUCCCAAGUCCGCCCGUGUCGCCAACGGGGCACCAACUUUACUACCCAGGCGCCACUACCGGAACUAACGCUGCAGCCGCGGCGUUUGCGGCCGCACAGAGCAACGCCAUGAUUCGUCUACGAGGACUUCACACAGGCGCAACCGCCCAAGAUGUUGCGAAGUUCUUCCAGGGCUAUGGGGGAUUACAAUUGGCCCGUGGAACGGAGGCGUGGCAAUGACGUGGCGAUCAGGGGGGCCUGGAGGGGGUCAACCUAUUACCCCUCUCUGGCUCCUAAUUUUUAUACAGGGUGAUGAACUCUAACUAUGCAAUAGGUACCUCCAGAAAGCGUUCAAGUGAG
rnacentral:misc_RNA from 1 species